AAGUCGUACAAGGUUUCCGUAGGUGAACCUGCGGAAGGAUCAUUAACGUAUCCGACGUUAAACCCCCCUGUGAACUACUGCCGUGCUCUCGUAGACCUUGAUGAACAGCAAUCCCUGGUAAAUCAUUGACGAACAGCGUUUGAUUGAUUGAGGGACCCAAGCAGUUCGUGGGUGCAAGGAACACGCUUUACGGUCACUAGAGGUCGAUCAGCGACCGGUGGAAAGUCUCAGGCCAAAAGCUCCCUAAUCACUCCACAGUUUCUUGCGAUUAAAUCCGCUGUAAAAAAACCCCCGAACAACUGUUAACAAUGGAUAUCUUGGUUCUC
rnacentral:misc_RNA from 1 species